GUGCGUGCCCGUGUUCCUCCCUGCGCUAGGAUUUUUCAAAUCCUUUUCUGAUUCCAUGAUUCCGUCUGAAUGAUCUCUAGAUCCCGUAUGCGUACUUGCUUUUGCUCAGCUUCCGGUCAAAUCUUGCAGGGGUACGCGGCCCGGGAGUUCGCCAAGCAGGGAGUUAAGCCAGGGGAGCUCGCCGUCAUCUCCAAGGAGGCGGUAUGUGUUACUCCCUCCACGCCCUGAUCUAUUUGCUACAGCCUUUUUAGCUUUCUCCUGAGAUAUUCUUAUUGACGGAGCAAAUUGGGGUUUCACACCUGCAAAUUGUUACACAAGUGAAUACCAAAUGUGCUCCACAGAUGCUGUUGAACUGGUACAUGACCGGAUAGAUGAGUGACGGGACUGAGAUUUAUUGUACUUGGCAUGGCACCCUGUCUGCGCUUUGCAGUAGCUAUCCUCAUGCCUUUACUGAACUAUCAGUUUCCAUAACUACUUGUUAGUAUUAUUAUGAGUCACAUAUAACUUGUAAAAUGCUGAAACCAGCCUUGAGCCUACAGGUAUUCUUUCCUUUUGAAUGCCUUAUUGCUCGCCAUAAUGCCUACUGUUGUUAACUGCUUGGCAGUACUGAGCAUAAUACAGGACAAACACAUAUGAACAGGGAUGUUGCAGGAGAGGGUGCAAAAUUACCUUGUUUUUCUCAAUCCUUGUUCGCAUUUUUACAAGCACUAGUGAUUACCUGGAUUCUACUAGUUCUACAAAGCUGUUCUUGUUCGUUAAAUGCAUAGGUAACACAUCUCUAACCACAAUUUAUUUUGACAGGUAGCUCCUUAUGAGCGUCCUGCCCUCAGCAAGGGUUACCUCUUUCCUCAGAGUAAGUUCUUCAAACGAUGUGUUCUUGCCUUAAUGUCUGAAUCUACUCCACCACAUGGGCUCAUGCAAAAUUCUGUUGUAUGUUAAUGUGAAUAGAUGCUGCAAGGCUCCCAGGAUUUCAUGUAUGUGUGGGAAGUGGUGGAGAGAGGCAAUUGCCUGAAUGGUACACAGAGAAAGGUACAAUUCAAAAAUUCUCUUGCAGUGUUAAUUCAAUGCUUUAUUUGUGAUUGUUGGAGUUGUACCCUUUAUUUUAGACCGUCCAUUUGAACUUAGCUGCUGGGCAGUGCUUUAAGGAGCAUGCUUUUCACCUAAUUUUUUCCAACUUAGCUUGUAGCUAUCACCUGUAUCUAGUUAAUUGUGUUGACACCAUAUGAGGGUACCUUGCUGGUGCAAAUUUCUAGUUCACUGAUGAGAAAUGUUUACCUUAUAAUAUGAUGUGUUUGUUUGGCUGAAUGUUCGUUUUAAUCUUAAUUGUGUGGUGUUUCAAUUUUGUUACUAUUGAAACUGGACCCUGAAUAGAAAUUAUGCUGGCCAGUUCAAACACACUGCAUGCCCAGGAUCUAUUUGGUGCUUCAAGGGUAUCCAUAUGUUUGCUAUUUUAUUAUUUUGGAUACUGAUCAUAUAUAUUUCAUCUAUUGGCACUUGGCAGGUAUUGAGCUGAUCCUCAGCACAGAAAUUGUCAAAGCUGAUCUUUCCACCAAGACUUUGACUAGUGCAGCUGGAGCAACCUUUACAUAUGAGAUCUUGCUCAUUGCUACUGGCUCCUCAGUAUGUCUUUAUUUCCCUUCUGUUUCUCAUGCUUUUUUCUGGUUAUCUGUGGAUGAUGGCCUAAAAUGUUGCCCUCAGAAACUAUUAGAUUUUGUUCAUGGAAUACUUAUAGUCUAUUUUGCCGCAUAGUGAACCACACCUGAUUCCACUUGCUUUUCAGGUCAUCAAGCUCACUGAUUUUGGCACACAAGGAGCUGAUUCUAACAACAUUCUAUAUCUAAGGGAAAUUGAUGAUGCUGACAAGCUGGUUGCAGCUAUCCAGGCAAAGAAGGGUGGGAAGGCAGUUGUUAUCGGGGGAGGUUAUAUUGGCCUUGAAAUUAGUGCCGCACUGAAGAUCAAUGAUUUUGAUGUCACUAUGGUGUUUCCCGAACCUUGGUGCAGUAAGUGUCAUCAUUCACAUAAUGCUACCAAUAGUUUUCUAGUACCACUUAUUAUGCAUCAGAGAAAUGGAAAUCACUUUGCUCAUGCAAUCAGCAUGCAAUUAUGAUAUUAAAUGAAAUUGUAGUGGAAGAAUUAUUAAGACAAUUAAGUAACACCGCUAUUUCAUUUCUUGUAGUGCCCAGGCUCUUCACUGCCGAUAUUGCUGCUUUCUACGAGGCUUACUAUACUAACAAAGGGGUAAAGAUUUUGAAGGGCACAUUAGCUGUUGGUUUUGAUGCCAAUGCCAAUGGUGAUGUAUGUACAAUUUCCGAAUCCUAAUUCAGUUGUGAAUUUCUAUUUAUAGAUGCAAAUGUUUACUUGUUUUACUUUGUUUCCGGCCUACAGGUCACUGCAGUUAAGCUAAAGGAUGGCACAGUACUUGAAGCUGAUAUUGUUGUUGUCGGUGUGGGAGCCAGACCAUUGACUACUCUCUUCAAAGGUCAAGUUGCUGAGGAAAAAGGUGGAAUCAAGGUUAGUUUAAUUUUAACUUACGUUUUUAACUUAGCACAUCAGUGCAGAAAGUCUUAUGGUUCUUUCCAAAAAAAUAAAAGUUCCUGUGAUGACGUGAUUCUAUAUUUUUUUUGUAUGCAUGUGCUGUUCUAUCUUGUAAUUAACAGCAUGGUCCUCAGUUUCUCCAUCUUUAGUUCCCCCUUUGAUAAACUGAACUUGUUCCUGUUCUGUUUACACCUUAACAUUUGACGUGUCUAAAAAUUUCAUGCAGACUGAUGCUUUCUUUGAAACAAGUGUUCCUGGAGUAUACGCCAUUGGCGAUGUCGCUACCUUCCCCUUGAAGAUGUACAAUGAGUUGAGGAGAGUGGAACACGUUGACCAUUCUAGGAAGUCUGCAGAGCAGGCUGUAAAGGUGAGGCUCUCCCACUUCUUUAUCUCCAGCUUGUGUUCGUAUAAGAUUUGCUAGGCUUCAGAUUAUCUUAUUGCUGCAUAAUAGCUGCAGCCUACAAAUAAAUGUUGGCCUGCAUUCAGAGUUGCAGAUCAGCCUGGUAGAAUAUCAUCUGUUUUAAGAUCCUCUAUGCUGUGGUGUUGAUUCGUGUUUUGGAAAAUGCGAAAUAUGCAAUAAUAAUGUGAACCUGGUUGGAAUUCUAUGAACUGUAUAUAAGCUGUGAUAGGCAUAGUUCAGUUAUGUCAGUUUAUCUCCACCUCCACAGCUCCACCCAAUAAAAUAGUAGGAAUUAGGAAACACUGCAGCUGCACUAAGAACAAUGUGAACUUAAUUUGGCUUUGUGUGAAACUGUUUCACAUGGCGGGAAAUGCCUGAAUCUGGAGUUCCCCAACAACUGUGAUUCAGGCUUUGUUUUAUCCAUUCAGCAUCUGAGCUGCUUGUGGUAUCAUUGCUUCUUCUCUCAGGCAAUCAAGGGAAAGGAGUCCGGGGAGUCAGUUCCCGAGUACGACUACCUGCCAUACUUCUACUCCCGAUCAUUCGACCUGGGGUGGCAAUUCUACGGCGACAACGUGGGCGAGACCAUCCUGUUCGGCGACAGCGAUCCCGCCUCCAGCAAGCCGAAGUUCGGGUCUUACUGGAUCAAGGAUGGCAAGGUCUUGGGCGCCUUCCUGGAAGGCGGGUCGCCGGACGAGAACAAGGCCAUCGCCAAGGUGGCGAAGACCCAGCCGCCGGUCGCCAGCAUCGAGGAGCUCAAGAAGGAAGGCCUCCAGUUCGCCAGCAAGAUCUGAGACGCUCCCGUUCCAGUGUGUUCCGUUCCAUGU
rnacentral:lncRNA from 1 species